UUACACAUCAUUAGAAUCUGCAUAUAUAAAUAUCUUUCCAUUAUCCAGAUCAACUGGCAGCAAGGCUUCAAGGAAAUCUUAAUGAUAUUGGACAUUUCGUUUUUCCUGGUGUACAAGACAGAGUCAAAAGAUGAAAGUGGUGUUUCUGAUCACUUUCCUUUUGGUCACAGCUCACUGCGCACCACAACUUCAGAGGUUAUAUAAACUCUUGAAUAACUGUAGGAAACCACCAAUGAACAGUAGAACUACCAUGGUCCCCACGCCACCAUUUCCACCAAUAACAGAAAUUGCUCCUCCUUUGACUUCUAACCCACCAGUCCCUCCUACCCCUGACCGGCGGGGAGAUUCACUAUUCACGAAGUUCUGAAGGAACUCAUUAGCCCAAUGUAGCUUCUCCCUCCAGGAAUUCUUUAGUACCACAGCUGAAGAUCAAAGACAUUAUCUGGCUGCUCCCUGUACCACAGUGUGCCCUUUUCAAUAUCCUGGAUAAAAUGACAAUGAUUCAUUAAAAAUGUUUAUAUCACUAUAUUAUGCCCAAGUGGAAUAUCAUUUCCCAUCAUUACCAGCAUUGUAAAAGAAGGAUGAGGAAAAUGAUCAAAGGAAUCUAGGAAAUAGGAUCUUUUUUCUCUGGCAAGUCAUAUGUUUAGCUAAGAAUCAGAGGUUCUAAAACAAAGGAAGAAAGGAAAAGCAAUUUGGGGAGGAGCACACAGCCUGCAGUUUCUGCCAAACUUGGGGAAGUGGUAGGUGACAGAAGGGUUCUGUCCCCAGCCUACAUCCAAGCCCUUGAAGAGACUCCUGGGAUGUUUCCAGCAGUAGGAGAGGGUGUUCUGGCCAUUUUAAUUCAGAAAGAAAUUGAUGAAGCCAUGAGGUAAUGCACUCAAAGUUUUCUUUUGCCUUAUUUGGGAGGCAACGUUCUAAGUUUCUCCCUAAUCUGUCUAGACAGAUGUACAAAGCAAAAAGAACAAGAAAGAUUUUACAGAUGUUAUCCAUUCUCCAUCUCUACAAAUAUGUAGUCCAGCUUUCUCUUUCGGGAAACAGAACAGUAACCUCUGCACCUCAGUUAAGAACAAUGAUCACUGUCUGUUAGUCCCUUCUGUUCCUCAGUGUGGAAAAGUCACUACAUGGCAUUCACAGGGGUCUUUGGUCUCAUUUGAGAAGUUUCCUACAGAGCCCUUCUUACAACUGGCUGCAACAUGGUCACACGUAGAAAUCAAAAGGAAUAGAGUUUGUGUAGGAGAGAACAUGCAUCAUUUCAUAGAAACCAAAGGCUCAGGCUUGGAAAGGACAUUAAAGUCUUCAGAAUCAACAUCCCCUGGGAGCUGGUUAGAAGAGCACCAGAGAUCAAGCUCCACUCCAGGUGAACUGAAGCGGUAUCUGCAUUUAAACAAGAUGCCUCGUGCUCCUCCACAACGUCACCAACUUGGAGAUAUCUGCCAGAAUACCUAGCAGCAGAGAGC
rnacentral:lncRNA from 1 species